rnacentral:lncRNA from 1 species
UCUUCUCUUUCUUCUUCAUUAAUGGCUACCUCUCCUCUUUCAUAGAACCGAGAACAUAUUUUUAAUGAUAGAGAAGAAUAGCUGGGCCAACAUCAGUCAACAAAUAUUAUAUUAAGUAAAGCAAUCAUAAACAUACAAGAAGAUAUCAUUAAUCCCCUUCUCUCUUUUUUUUCUUUUUCCAGUAAUCGUUUUUUCUUCUUUCUAAUUUUUUGUUAAUUCUUUAGGUGCCAUAAAUUGCUUAGAGGAGCGAAUGCCUCCUCCAUUACCUCAAACCUUCCCACUCUCUCUUUUUUUAGUCCUUUAUGUGCCAUAAGUUGUAUCCUCGCCGUCGACCACCACGGCAAAUGGUAUGAAUCUGAAAAAUUUAUCAUAAAUCUAGCAAUUUUCAAACAAUAUAGCAUCAUCACCCUUUUUGUAUCUAUAUCUAUCUGGUUGUCGUUUUUGAUGUCGAAAAAAAACUCUGAUUUCGCCUGUUACAUGAUUGAUUCUUGUAAUGAAAUAGGUAAAGAAAAAAGUUGUGAAAUAGGUCUAGAAGAAAAAAAAAAGGUUUAAAAAAACAAAGUAAAUUAGUGGCUGAAAAUGGAAAAGAAGAAGAACACGUUGGUUGUGGUGGUGGUGAAAUGGAGAAGACGAAAUUAGAUGGAGAUGAUUUUCUUUUUUUCUUUUUUAUUAUUUUUUACUUAAGUAAUGUUGAGCUAAAAUUUUCAUAAUCUAACCUAUGGGUUCUAAGAAAGAGGAGAGGUAGCCAAAAUUAAUGGGCACGGGUUUUUGGGUCAAAGAAAUGGGCACGGGCCUUUUAAAAUUUGGGGUGAUAAUUGCCCUUAAGUGGUGGGUUACAUUGCCACGUUCGAAAACAAUUCUAAACGGAAAGUAAAAACGGAUAUAAAUAUGAUUAAUUAUCCAAAGUAUAAGUACAAUUUUGGCCUUUUUCCCUUUUGAAUUUGUAUGUACAAACUUUUACAACUUACUAUUCCAAAUUUAUGUAGGAUGUGGCAACUACUAAUCCAUAUAUAUUACUAUUUGUCUUUUAAAGAAAAGAUACCACAUUUCUUUAUUCAACUGAAAGAUAACACUUUGGACCAAUAAUCCUUGUCUUUAUAGGUGAAUAACGAUCAAGUUCUCUAGUUAAAUCCCAUCAUUGACAAAUACAACCAUAAUAACGCAAUAGUAAGACUUAUUUUAGAUUUAAAAAAAUCACUUAUAUGAUAGUCAAACUAUAUUUAGAUAUUCCAAUGGCUUUUUUCAUCCUUAUAAUUAGAAUUCCGUCGUUCGUAAUUCCAAAAACUCUGUUAAUUCUUUUCCGUUAUUUCUUGUUUCCAUGCACCAUUCAUCGUUCUUACAUAUAUGCAUGAAUCUUUUAAACAUGGUGGUCCUCAAUCUCAUGCAUGAUACUUCUCACAAAGGUACAGUGGAACUUGACAAAAUUGCACUCUCUUCUAGUACCUCGUCAGUUGUCAUAAUUUAUUUAUUUUUUGUCAAAGGGAAAAUUAUAUAUAUUAAGAAUUACAUUACAGAGUAGUGGUCAGAUGGGGGUACUUAAUCCUCCUAAAACAGACAUGUUUUGUUCCGGUGUAUCAAUAUUACAUGUCAAAAAUUGUUUGAUUACUUCAGUUCCUAGGACGUCUGCCCAAAAUAUAUCAUUUGCAAGCACCGGAGCAACUGCUAGCAUAGUAGUUCUUCCCAAAUAUUUUGAUUUUGCUGCUUCCUUGGCCAGUGCAUCGGCCACUCUAUUCUGCUCCCUGUAACUGUGUCUCACCACUACAGUACUGUCCAUCCUUUGGAUCAACAACCUGCAUUCACAUAUAAUAGGAUCAUAAGUUAUAUAUUGCCUGUGAAUAGCAGUCUUAUUACCUUUGCCGAGUGUGUUUUGAGGCCCUUUAGCAAAGUAUUUAAUUCUGUCAUUGUGUUGGUGUGUGGCAUGUUUUCCAUAUAUGUGAUUAUUGAAUCAAUUACACAGAAAUGAGAAGUGAAUGACAAGAAGAGUUGCAGAAGAGAAGAAGGAGAGAUAGAGGAGGAAGAAGCAUUAGUUAAUUCAUUAUUCAAAAGUGAUGAUCUUAGUGUUACAAAACUAGUAUAUAUAUAUAUAUACUAGUUUAGCUAAUAUUUAACUAACUAAUUAGGCUUAACAACCUUCUAACAAACUAAUGAAUCCUAACUACUUCUUGUGUAUUGACUAAGCUACGCUUUGUUAUUAAUUAUGUAAUAUCAUUUCCUACACUCCCCCUCAAGCUAGGUGGUGCAAAAAUAUUAUAAACUCCUAGCUUGGAGUUGAGGUAUCCAUAUUGAACUUUGUUGAGUCCUUUUGUCAAGAUGUCUGCUGGUUGUUCUCUAGUAGGAAUGUACUUAGUUGUAAUAAGCCCUUGUAGUAUCUUCUCUCGAAUGAAAUGACAAUCAAUUUCGAUGUGUUUGGUUCUUUCAUGAUACACAGGUUUGGCUGCAAUUU